AACGCACAUUGCGCCCACCAGUACUCUGGUGGGCAUGCCUGUCCGAGCGUCAUUUCAACCCUCAGGGCCCGUCCGCGGGACCUGGUGUUGGGGAUCGGCCCCUACCGGCCGGCCCCGAAAUACAGUGGCGGCACACCCGCGACCUCCUCUGCGUAGUAGCAAUGCCUCGCAGCUGGAUAGCGGAUGCGCCUCGCCGUAAAACCCCCCACUUACCAAAGGUUGACCUCGGAUCAGGUAGGAAUACCCGCUGAACUUAA
rnacentral:misc_RNA from 1 species